rnacentral:lncRNA from 1 species
CUCGAGAGCAUGUGGGCUAAAACCUGGGAGAUGCUGGGUACUUGCAUCUCUUACUGAAUAGUCUUUUAUCAGCCUAUUUAGGUUAUCCCAGUUUAACCCUAUAGUUCCUUCCAGCAAUUCAAUGACUCAGAUUAACUAGACACUUGGCCAGUGUCGAGCUCCAGGCUGAAGGUUGGAGAGAGGCUAGUCCCCAGACAAAUGAUGCAUGGAAUUUGUAUCUGUGUGUUGCCAUGCCGACGCCGUGCACAGAUUGCUCAAGAUUCAGCAGGACUUGGCAGGGACCUUUUUGCUUCCCAGAGACUCAAUGACAGUUUCACCUACAGAAAAAGAGUGAUGCCAAAGCAGGUCGUUAGAGUUGCUACGGUGAUGGAAGACUUUCACCUGAAAGGCUCUGUUAAAAACACGCCACUGCCCCAAGGACUUUCCAGAGGGCUGCUGUGAAGGUGGCAGAGCCAGCAUCUGCAGCCUCCCCAACCACACGAGGUCCAGGGGUCCGUGAGCUAUUCCUGCUUAAUCCUCACUGAAGGGGGAAGAACAAUUUUAGUGCAUAGUAAAGCAUUUGUUUAAUUCCUCUUAGGUGCAUGGUGCAUUUUAAUGAAUAAAAUAUUGGAUUACCUCA